rnacentral:rRNA from 1 species
UUCUAUUAGAAUAAAUUAAUAGUAAAAUCUGCUCAAUGAUAAAAUUUAAUAGCCGCAAUUGUGCUAAGGUAGCAUAAUAAUUUGUCUUUUAAUUAAAGACUAGAACAAAAGAUUUAACAUUUAUAUUAUUUCUUUAAUUUAUUUAUUUAAAUUAUCUUAAAAAUAAAAAGAUUUUUAUAAAAUAGAAAGACGACAAGACCCUAUUGAAUUUCACUUAAGUUUAACUGGGGAAGUAAAUCAAUUAAUAUUUUAAUUUCAAUACUAAUCAAAAUGAUCUAAUAUAAUUAUUCAAAUGAACAAAUUACCAUAGGGAUAACAGCGUAAUAAAAUUUUUAAGAUCUUAUUUUAAAUAAAGAUUGCGACCUCGAUGUUGAUUAAUAUUCCUAUUUUUACGCAAUAGUAAAUUAAGAAA